rnacentral:rRNA from 1 species
UAAGCCAUGCAUGUCUAAGUAUAAGCAAUCUAUACGGUGAAACUGCGAAUGGCUCAUUAAAUCAGUUAUCGUUUAUUUGAUAGUACCUUACUACUUGGAUAACCGUGGUAAUUCUAGAGCUAAUACAUGCUAAAAACCUCGACUUCGGAAGGGGUGUAUUUAUUAGAUAAAAAACCAAUGCCCUUCGGGGCUCCUUGGUGAUUCAUAAUAACUUAACGAAUCGCAUGGCCUUGUGCCGGCGAUGGUUCAUUCAAAUUUCUGCCCUAUCAACUUUCGAUGGUAGGAUAGUGGCCUACCAUGGUUUCAACGGGUAACGGGGAAUUAGGGUUCUAUUCCGGAGAGGGAGCCUGAGAAACGGCUGCCACAUCCAAGGAAGGCAGCAGGCGCGCAAAUUACCCAAUCCCGACACGGGGAGGUAGUGACAAUAAAUACUGAUACAGGGCUCUUUUGGGUCUUGUAAUUGGAAUGAGUACAAUUUAAAUCCCUUAACGAGGAACAAUUGGAGGGCAAGUCUGGUGCCAGCAGCCGCGGUAAUUCCAGCUCCAAUAGCGUAUAUUAAAGUUGUUGCAGUUAAAAAGCUCGUAGUUGAACCUUGAGCCUGGCUGGCCGGUCCGCCUCACCGCGUGCACUGGUCCGGCCGGGUUUUUCCUUCUGGGGAGCCGCAUGCCCUUCACUGGGUGUGUCGGGGAACCAGGACUUUUACUUUGAAAAAAUUAGAGUGUUCAAAGCAGGCCUAUGCUCGAAUACAUUAGCAUGGAAUAAUAGAAUAGGACGUGUGGUUCUAUUUUGUUGGUUUCUAGGACCGCCGUAAUGAUUAAUAGGGAUAGUCGGGGGCAUCAGUAUUCAAUUGUCAGAGGUGAAAUUCUUGGAUUUAUUGAAGACUAACUACUGCGAAAGCAUUUGCCAAGGAUGUUUUCAUUAAUCAGUGAACGAAAGUUAGGGGAUCGAAGACGAUCAGAUACCGUCGUAGUCUUAACCAUAAACUAUGCCGACUAGGGAUCGGGCGAUGUUAUUUUUUUGACUCGCUCGGCACCUUACGAGAAAUCAAAGUCUUUGGUUCUGGGGGA